CAGCUUGUGUGCGCGGAGGCUCGUGCGCGCGGAGGAGAAGCAUGCUUCACUGACAAGUUGUUCCCGCUAUCCUCGCUGCCUCUGCCAGUGACGUAACUUGGUGUGGACAACAUGUUGGAAAGAGAGUGUUCAUCCCUAUGAUCCCUUUGGCGCCCUCGGAGGACAUUUCGCUUCCUUUCAAGUUGAAGAGGAAAAAGUUCCCUGGAUCGAUCCUGUAGAGCCCCUUCCGUAACCAAGUCCCCUCCCCACUCGGAGUCCUCCGCCACUGACGUACGGGUAAGCGCAAGAGCUGCGGUGCAUCCACGCGGUUCAACGAGCUGCCGAUGUCGUAGAUAACCAAGACGUACACGGAGAUAAGCAAGAUUCAGUGCGCUGCCCUGCCCCCACGCGCUCUGAGGGUACGAUGUCCCCGGCGUGUCCAAGAUAAGGUCCAGGAAGACCCUCGCCUUCGUUAUCCUGGAAUAUGUUGUUUAAAUAUGAAGAGGUGGAUAAGUUUCUGGGUUUAGUUACUGAAUAUCCAGAUCCGGCUUGCUUCUCAGCCAUGGCCUACAUUUAGAAGAAAUAUGUUGUUUAAAUAUGAAGAGGUGGAUAAGUUUCUGGCUUUAGUUACUGAAUAUCCAGAUCCGGCUUGCUUCUCAACCAUGGCCUACAUUUAGAGAAGACAUGUUCAUAUGUAAGAGAUUUAAGGUCAAUGAUCUCCCCCUGUUGUAAUGCUCAUCAUCUUAAUUCAGACAUUGCUAUAUAUAUGCACCAUGGUUCAUGACUGUACU